rfam:Triticum urartu cultivar G1812 contig1070742, whole genome shotgun sequence.
GUCGGGAUAGCUCAGUUGGUAGAGCAGAGGACUGAAAAUCCUCGUGUCACCAUUUCAAAUCUGGUUCCUCGCA